rnacentral:rRNA from 1 species
AUACGUAGAGUGCAAGCGUUGUCCGGAAUCAUUGGGCGUAAAGGGUAUGCAGGCGGAUAGGCAAGUCAAAUGUGAAAGGUGUCGGCUUAACCGACAGACUGCGUUUGAAACUGUUUAUCUUGAGUGCAGUAGAGGAAAGCGGAAUUCCUAGUGUAGCGGUGAAAUGCGUAGAUAUUAGGAAGAACACCAGUGGCGAAGGCGGCUUUCUGGACUGCAACUGACGCUGAGAUACGAAAGCUGGGGGAGCGAACGGGAUUAGAUACCCCGGUAGUCCCAGCUGUAAACGUUGGACACUAGGUGUUGAAGGUUCGAUUCCUUCAGUGCCGGAGUUAACGCGUUAAGUGUCCCGCCUGGGGAAUACGGUCGCAAGACUGAA